rnacentral:rRNA from 1 species
AUGCUCACCGACGCCAACUACGGCGUGUGGGCGGUGAAGAUGAAGAUCAUUCUCCGAACCCUUCGAGUGUGGCAGGCCAUCACGGACGACGACGUCGACGAAGAGUGCGACGAAGGUGCCAUGGCCGCCAUAGCCCAGUCUGUGCCGGAUUCCGUGCUGGUGACAUUGGCGGAGUUCGAGACAGCAAGAGAGGCAUGGAACACACUCAAAGAGAUGAGGAUCGGAGAAGAUCGCGUCACCAAGGCUCGGGCACAAGUGCUGAAACGCCAAUUUCAAAAGUUGCAAAUGGAGGAAACUGAAUCGGUGAACGACUAUGCCACGCGUCUAACUACUUUGGUGGGAGAAAUCCACGCGCUUGGUGCGAAGCUCGAGGAGACCGAGAUUGUGGAGAAGUUUUUUAGUUCGGUGACUGAUAAAUUCACGUACAUCAUCGGCACGCUCGAGCAGCUUUACGACAUCGACGACAUGACCAUAACGGAGGCGAUCGGACGCUUGCGGACAUGGGAAGAAAAUGCUCGAGGUUGUCGGCAAGGCAAAGGAGGAGGUAGUGACCAACUCAUGUACUCGCGCACAGAUUGGGAGUCCCCAAGUAGCAAAGGAAGGCGCAACGUCGGCGAAGGCUCAAACAACGCGAAGAGAGGCGGACAAACCAUUAAAGGCAAAGGAAAAGGCAAGCCACAAGGUCGUGGUAAGGCGGACCGAUCUAAAGAGCGGAAACCACGAAACUUGGAUAUGUCCGAGGUCAAGUGCUAUAACUGCAAUGAGAUGGGUCACUUUGCAAAGGAUUGUCCGGUGCCUAACAAGAGGGAGAUCAAGGCAAAUUUGGCGAAGCAGGAAGACGAACGUCCAGAUCUUCUGAUGGUCGAAGUUUGUGAUCUCGUGGAGCCUAACAAGCGCGACAUCAAGGCAAAUUUGGCGAAGCAGGAAGACAAACGUCCAGGUCUUCUGAUGGCUAAAGUUUGUGAUCACGUCCAAACGGUGGUUGUGAAACCAAGUCGAAAGGUGCUACUUCACGAGAAGAAAGUAAUACCGAAGUUAUCCGGAAACCAGAACGUGUCGUGGCAUCUAGACACCGGUGCCAGUAACCACAUGAUGGGGUGCAAGGAGAAGUUCCUCGAGCUGGAAUAUGAUGUUCAAGGCUCGGUCAAGUUCGGUGAUGGUUCAAAUGUGGAGAUUUGCGGACAAGGUUCUUUCCUCUUCGAGGGUCUCAAAGAACAUCGCAUACUCACCGGAGUGUACUACAUCCCACGGCUUCGCAACAUCAUCAUCUCUGUCGGGAAACUUGACGAGAAUGGAUGCAAGGUGGAUAUUGAGAACGGAGUGAUGACAAUCUUCGACAACCUCCGAAACGUGCUAGCACGUGUGAAUCGCACGCGAAACAUGCUCUAUAUUCUCAACCUUGAUCAAUCUCAACCGGAGUGUUGGCUUGCCAAGAGUGAUGAUGAUUCGUGGUUAUGGCAUGCUAGAUUUGGACACGUUAACUUCUACGCCUUGAAGAAGAUGUCGAAGAUGGAGAUGGUAUCUGGGAUGCCGUUUAUCGACCAUGUUGACCUAGUAUGUGAUGGGUGCUUGGUUGGAAAACAGCACCGUAGGCCGUUCCCUGCUCAGUCUACCUAUCGUGCAAGUGAUGCACUCGAGCUGCUCCAUGGUGAUCUAUGUGGCCCUAUCACCCCAGCAACUCACGGAGGAAAGAAGUACUUCUUCCUUGUGGUAGAUGACUACUCGAGAUACAUGUGGGUCGUUCUCCUACGAUCUAAAGAUGAGGCAUCUGAAGCGUUCAAGAAGCUGAAGGCUGCAACGGAGAUGGGACACAAGCUGAAGGUUCGCGCUCUACGGACAUAUCGCGGCGGAAAGUUUACGUCAAACGAGUUCAACGACUACUGCGAGAAGAUUGGCAUAAAAAGGUUCCUCACGGCACCUUAUACGCCACAGCAGAACGGGGUUGUUGAAAGGCGCAAUCGAACCGUCGUUGACAUGGCGAGAAGUUUACUCAAGAGCAAGAACUUGCCAGGGACAUUUUGGGGAGAAGUUGUCUCGACUGCGGUCUAUCUUCUCAAUCGGGCUCCAACGAAGGCGGUGAUAGGCAAGACUCCGUAUGAAGCAAUUUACGGACGUAAGCCGAAUGUGUCUCAUCUACGGACGUUCGGGUGCGUGGCGCAUGUGAAGACGGCGGAGCCGCAUCUCUCAAAGCUUGCUGAUCGUAGCACCAAGAUGGUGUUCAUCGGAUACGAGAGGAGUUCUGGCACCAAGGCAUACCGCUUCUACGAUCCACGAACCAAGCGUCUACGGAUUUCACGUGACAUCGUGUUUGAGGAAAACCAAGCGUGGAAUUGGAGCGCAGCAGCCGACGAUGCUCCAAACGGUAAUAUAUUCACAGUUGAAUUUCCAGCUGAUGAUGAUGCAUGGGAAGACGUCCAGGUGGUUGGCAAGACACCCAACCAAGGUGACCGCAAUGGCAGUGACCACCAUGGUGCCGACACUGACAACGACGCGCAUGGGUCGCAAGGUGAUAGCGACAACGACGCGCACGACACUGGCGGAGAUCUCGACAAUGAGGCGCAUAGUGAUGAUGACAAUCAAGAUGAUGGUCACGAUCACGACGACUACGCCGACGACGCGGAUGCCAACGACCCGGCAUCUACCACGCACGAGACUCAACGGUCUUCCUCAAGUGCAUCGACGCCGACACAAUUUGUGUCGCCCCCUUCGCAAGCCAGAACGGAUUUUUCCGGGCCUCGUCGCUACAAGCCCCUCAAGAAAGUCUACAAGUACGCAAAGCCAGUUACACUCGAGUACUCCGAUUUGUGUUUACUCGGAGUUGAGGAGCCUGCGAACUUCGUAGAGGCAAGCAAAAGUUCAAGUUGGAUGCACGCCAUGGAUGAGGAGAUGAAGGCGAUUGAGAGCAAUGGCACGUGGACUUUGGUAACCCGACCUACGAACCAAAAGGCCAUAGGUUUGAAGUGGGUUUACACGUUAAAGAAGGACACGAAGGGUACCGUUGUGAAGUACAAGGCAAGACUCGUCGCAAAGGGUUAA